UGCCUGAGCGCAUCGGCCUAGGCGUGUGGCAGACAACCCCAUCUCCAAAAUUUGGAAAUACUGCACAUCUAGUUGGCUCCAAAUUGUAAACCACAGGAUGAGUAUUCAGUGGGCAUGAGAGAUUGAGAACAUCCUACCACACCAUAAACCUUGGUGUAGAUGACUUCCUUUUCUGUGGAUUGAAGCCAGAGAGCACAAUGAGUACAAGAAAUCCUCAAAGAAAGCGGCAUGGUGGGACUGUAAAUUCUAGACAAACCCAGAAGCGAACUCGGGAAACAACUUCAACCCCUGAGGUUUCCUUGGAAACAGAACCCAUAGAACUUGUGGAAACUGUUGGAGAUGAAAUCGUGGACCUCACCUGUGAAUCUUUAGAGCCCGUGGUUGUGGACCUGACUCACAAUGNCUCUGUUGUGAUUGCUGAAGAAAGGAGAAGGCCAAGGAGAAAUGGGAGGAGGUUACGGCCAAGACCAUGCUGACAGCUGUGUGGUGAGCAGUGACGAUGAAGAACUGUCUAGGGACAAGGAUGUGUACGUGACU